rnacentral:rRNA from 1 species
AUUGAACGCUGGCGGCAGGCCUAACACAUGCAAGUCGAACGGUAACAGGAAGCAGCUUGCUGCUUUGCUGACGAGUGGCGGACGGGUGAGUAAUGUCUGGGAAACUGCUUGAUGGAGGGGGAUAACUACUGGAAACGGUAGCUAAUACCGCAUAACGUCGCAAGACCAAAGAGGGGGACCUUCGGGCCUCUUGCCAUCGGAUGUGCCCAGAUGGGAUUAGCUAGUAGGUGGGGUAACGGCUCACCUAGGCGACGAUCCCUAGCUGGUCUGAGAGGAUGACCAGCCACACUGGAACUGAGACACGGUCCAGACUCCUACGGGAGGCAGCAGUGGGGAAUAUUGCACAAUGGGCGCAAGCCUGAUGCAGCCAUGCCGCGUGUAUGAAGAAGGCCUUCGGGUUGUAAAGUACUUUCAGCGGGGAGGAAGGGAGUAAAGUUAAUACCUUUGCUCAUUGACGUUACCCGCAGAAGAAGCACCGGCUAACUCCGUG